AGCUUUCAAAUGGACAAGGUAGAGGUAACAAUAAGAAUUACAAAGGAGGAAAAAAAUUACCAUUAAGUGUUUGUCUCUGCUUUCUUUUUAUUGGCCUGUAGAACACAUUUGGAAUAUUGGGUUCACUGGGGGUCGCAGAGGCGGGUUCCCUGGACACAGAGUUGGAGUCAUUGGGGGUCGCAGAGGCGGGUUCCCUGGACACAGAGUUGGAGUCAUUGGGGGUUGCAGAGGCGGGUUCCCUGGACACAGAGGUGGAGUCAUUGGGGGUCGCAGAGGCGGGUUCACUGGACACAGAGGUGGAGUCAUUGGGGGUCGCAGAGGCGGGUUCCCUGGACACAGAGGUGGAGUCAUUGGGGGUCGCAGAGGCGGGUUCACUGGUGGCAGAGGUGGAGUUGCUCCCUGUGGAGGAUUAGGGAAAAGAACAGUCUUUAGUCAACAUGUUUAGUCUACAUGUAUGUAUGUAUGCAUGCAUGUAUGUAUGUAUGUAUGCGUGUCUAUAGACACACAGAGUGGCUGAACCAGCUAAUUAAGAUCUUCAGGAGUACUU
ensembl:lncRNA